UACGGAGGGUGCGAGCGUUGUCCGGAAUCAUUGGGCGUAAAGGGCGCGUUAGGGUUGGCCCGGGUCAGCGUGGCGGUGAAAGCUCGGGGCUCAACCCCGAGUCGGGCCGUGCGAACUGCUGGCUCGAGCACUGUAGAGGCAGGCGGAAUUCCGGGUGUAGCGGUGGAAUGCGUAGAGGAUCCGGAAAGAACACCGGUGGCGAAGGCGGCCUGCUGGGCAGUAGCUGACACUGAGGCGCGACAGCG
rnacentral:rRNA from 1 species